GCGCUUCCCUUUCUUUUACCUCAGUCCCAGCUAUUUAAAGUUGCCAUGUGUUAUUAGAAAAAAAUCUUAGAUCAGUUUAUUUUCAGUGUGUACAGCUUCCCCCUAACUAUUAUAAUAAGAAGCCAAAUCACCUGCAAUGUUUGAAAACAAUUUGAUGCUGCUGUGUGUGUAUUCAAUGUCUUGCAAAAUGCAGGUAAUAGUUUUAAUUGUUUAUUUAGCAGUACCUGAUUAAACAUGCAGACAUAUCACCAUAAUUAAGCUAGUUCUGUUCUGAACUUGGUAUAAAUCAGCUCAGAUGCUGAGGUCUAAUCACUGGUAGUUGAAAGCUCUAGUGGCAUCUGGUGAGACAAAUGGAUAAAUAUCUUACAGAAGCCCAGGAGCUGGUGAGGUUACCAGCCUCAUAGAAGACUAAGUCAUUAAGUGGUGUGAGCAACAGUGUAUAACUCAUUUACAGAACUUUCAAACUAUGAACGUUUCCUUCCCCUUCCUUCUCAUUCCCCCUCCUCCCCCCAAAGUGAUGUGAAAAAUUUUAGUAAGAGACUCCAUGUCCUGAAGACCAUACCUUUGAAGUAUACAAGACAGGCAAAGUGUGGCAGAAGGGAAGAACUGUUAUAACUAAUUUACAGGAAACUGAAGCUCAAAGAUGUUAACUUCUUCUAAGAUCAGACAGGAGGCUGGAACUGUGAAUCAAGGCCUCCUGCUACUGCUGUUCCACUUGCCAAGCUCUGGUGUUAUGGGCUGAGUCCUGUUGGUGAGGUGGUUGCCCAGCCUGUACUGUGGCCACCCUUAGCUCACCUUCCCUCUUGAAGCUGCCCUGUUCUUGCUCUUCUUCCAGCAGGGACUGGAACAUUUGAGAUUAUCUUGACUUCGCUAAAGUACUACACAUUUGACAACUGUCAACAGGACUAUAUUUAGAGGGCCAAUACUUCAUGUAGUGGUUUAGCAGCCAGCGUUCCAGUGAAGGAGCAUUUCUCAAAGGCUCUUCACUCAGCAGACCACUGCAUACCUGGCUUUCCCAGUAUGACCACCUCCCUAGGCCAUUUCUCCUCACCAGCUAUUGACUCUGGUAAUUUCCUCUGGCUGUGAAAGUCACUAAAUUUUCCCCUUCACUAAAUAUCAUGGAGGCACAAAAACCUAAUCUCAGUGCUGAGUCCAUCCCCUUGGCUUCCUCAAAUGGCCUUUCCCUCUUUUGCUUUCUGUGGCAGCACCAUGAAAUGAGGCAGCAGUUUCAUUACAGUAUGCUCCAAAUGCUGUUUUAUGUAAUGUUGUUUGCAGUGCUGUAGUUUGCUUCCUUACUGCCAGUUUCAUCACCUUCCAUAAAGCUUAAUUCAAUUGUUUGUUGAUUACCUCUUUGGAUUAGUGAAUAAAUCUCAAAUUGAAGCUGCUAGCAGCAUUGGUAGGGCUAUAGAUGUCACAAAACUUUCUCUCUCUAUUUUUGUGUCCCUAUCUGGGGUUACACUGGGGUAAACCUUUGCUGCUAUUGUAAAGGUGUUCAGGAAUGAGAAGAGAAGGCUUCAUGCUCAUAAAACUUCUUUACAGACAAUUCUCUAGAAGAACAACUAUGGAGAGAAUUGUAUGUGGUUACUCUAAAUUCUACAACCUUUUUCUAACUAGAACAUGUAUUACUUUGUGUUGCUUUGGUGUUCCUUGUCAUAUGAAAAGAAAUCUCUGCUCUAAUAUAUGAGAUAUUAUCUGAAUACUGCCAGGACUGUGAAGGUUUCUAUUUGGAGGUGUCUCUUUAAAUAAACCACAUUUCAUACUUGGGGAGCAAGCCAAACAGAAGUGGUUUUUAUUCAAGUUUUUAAGCUGGGAUCUGCCUUAGAAGCAGUUGCAUUUACCUCUGCCUCUUUGCCCACAUUCUUCUGAGAAGUCCUGAGACUUAUGGAGAUCAUGGUUUGCUUUCAUAACUUGCAAGGUGCUCUUCUCACCUCUCAUAUGCCAGCUGAGUGUGGGAAGCUCUCACAUUCAUUAUAGAUUUUCAGCAUGCAUCUUUAAUGUCUUAGUAGAUGUUAAUUUAAAUGUUUUUCCUUUCAAAGGUGAUGCGGUUCUACUAUUCAAAUGGGUAAAGGAAAUUAUAUGCUAUAUAUAGAAUUAAAUACAGAGGAAUAUUGAUAAUAAGUUGAGCUGGCAUC